GACAGAGGGGGCAAGCGUUGCUCGGAAUCACUGGGCGUAAAGGGCGCGUAGGCGGGAUGGCAAGUCGGUCGUGAAAUCUCUCGGCUCAACCGAGAAACGUCGGCCGAUACUGCCGUUCUUGAGGGAUGCAGAGGAGACUGGAAUUCCCGGUGUAGCGGUGAAAUGUGUAGAGAUCGGGAGGAACACCGGUAGCGAAGGCGGGUCUCUGGGCAUUUCCUGACGCUGAGGCGCGAAAGCAUGGGGAGCAAACAGG
rnacentral:rRNA from 1 species